AGAGUUUGAUCCUGGCUCAGAAUCAACGCUGGCGGCGUGCCUAACACAUGCAAGUCGAGCGAGAAAAGGGGGGCAACUCCCUGAGUAAAGCGGCGCACGGGUGAGUAACACGUGGGUAAUCUGCCCUGGAGUGGGGAAUAACACCGGGAAACCGGUGCUAAUACCGCAUACGAUCACAGAGUCUGCGGAUUUUGUGAUGAAAGGAGCAAUUCGCUCUAGGAGGAGCCCGCGGCUGAUUAGCUAGUUGGUGAGGUAAUGGCUCACCAAGGCUACGAUCAGUAUCCGGUCUGAGAGGACGGUCGGACACACUGGAACUGAGACACGGUCCAGACUCCUACGGGAGGCAGCAGUGGGGAAUUUUUGGCAAUGGGGGCAACCCUGACCAAGCAACGCCGCGUGGGUGAUGAAGUCUCUUGGGACGUAAAACCCUUUCGACGGGGAAGAAAACCGCAAGGUUUGACGGUACCCGUAGAAGAAGCCCCGGCUAACUCCGUGCCAGCAGCCGCGGUAAUACGGGGGGGGCAAGCGUUGUUCGGAAUUACUGGGCGUAAAGGGCGCGUAGGCGGUCCGCUAAGUUAGAUGUGAAAACUCUGGGCUCAACCCAGAGCCUGCAUCUAAUACUGACGGGCUAGAGUUCUGGAGGGGGUAGCGGAAUUCCUGGUGUAGCGGUGAAAUGCGUAGAUAUCAGGAGGAACACCGGUGGCGAAGGCGGCUACCUGGACAGAAACUGACGCUGAGGCGCGAAAGCUAGGGGAGCAAACAGGAUUAGAUACCCUAGUAGUCC
rnacentral:rRNA from 1 species